rnacentral:misc_RNA from 1 species
CUCUCUCUCUUUCUCUCUCUUUUCUCUUCAAUUCUACUCUUUCUACCUUCCUUCCGUUUCUUCUUCUGUGUAAGGUACUGAUUUGUUAUUGUUAAUAUAUGGUAGUCUUGUCUUUCACUAAUGGACUCUGUUUUGUUUGGUGAGUCUUACGGUGGAGUAAGUUGGGGGGCUUAUUAUGAGGAAAAUUCAGCAUUUUGCUACUUGGAAAAUUUAUAUUUUGAGCUUUUUAGCUCAGGUUUGGCUCUGCAUUUUUGUGGGUUCUCUUCCAAAUUUUGGGUUCUUCAAUUUUGUGUAGUGUCGGCAUGCAUUGAGUCACUAGUAUGAAGAAGGUUUUGGAGGUUUUGAUGUUUGUUUACUGAGAAAACAAGGGAAAAGAAAAGGCCAAUUACACCCACAUAUAUUUUCCAAUACAGAGUAGGAAAAUUUUCUCUUUUCCUCUUUCACUUCCUUCAUCACCCUCUGGUUUCUUAGCUAACAGAGAGUUUUAAAGGAGGAAAAAUAACUAAGCAAGUUCAUUACAUUGCAUAUAAUAUGAAAAUUGUGAACAUUUGGGAAAUUUUUUUUGGAUAACAAUUUCUCAUAAUUGCAUUUGCUUUGUGCUUUGCAGGAAUUUGGGAGUAAUUUAUCUUUUCUUUGGAAAACAGAGGAUUUUCCAAUUGGGAAAUUAACAAAGGAAAAUAAAGAAAGAAAGAGACAAUAGUCGCAUUCUAAAGAAGAACCAUGAUUGGACCAGCAAAUUUCAUAGACGAAAUAGACUGCGGUAGCUUCUUCGACCACAUCGAAGACCUCCUCGACUUUCCCACAGACGAUAUCGAGGCUUGUCUCCCUGGUCCCGACUGCACCACCACCAACAAUAACAACGGGAACGCCAACUCGUUCCCGAGCAUUUGGUCUACUCAUUCAGACUCACUGCCGGGUUCCGACUCUGUGUUCUCUAAUAACAACGGCUCUGAUUUCUCGGCGGAAUUAUCCGUUCCAGUGAGUAUAAAUUUAAAUUUUUUUAGUGGUUUAAUGUCAUCCGUUGGAUUGCUUUGUGAUGACGUCAUGAGUGCUUUGCUUUUAAUGUGAUAUUUGGUUUUUCGGUCGCCACUCAUCACCAGGCUUGCAGUCCGCGUAAUUGAGUUCAAAAAUCAAAAACUGGGUGGGGUCCUCUUGGGGGCUUUUUGGUCAUUUCAAAAUGUUUUUGUCGGCGCUGAGGUGGAUUUAAAUCAAUUAAAUAAUUGAUUCAUUAUUUGUGCAAUGCCAAUUAAUAGUUCUAAUUAGUCAUUUGAUUUAAUUAAUUAAGCACCAAAUUUGGUUAAAUUUCUUAAUUAAUUUUGGUGGGUUGUUGAUAUGAUUAUUGUUGGAGUUGUCUAAUUCAAUUUUUGUUAUAAUGUUACAGUAUGAAGAUAUUGUUCAGCUGGAAUGGCUAUCAAAUUUUGUUGAGGAUUCCUUCUCUGGAGGAAGCCUCACAAUGAAUAAAGAAGAGUCCUCUUCCAUCAACAAUAACUCAUCUCAUCAACAAUUUCAGACCUCCAGUCCAGUUUCUGUCCUUGAAAGCAGCAGCUCCUGCUCAGGAGAGAAAACUGUGCCGGAAAUCAUUGGUUCGGGUAGGCAUGGGCGUGCUCGUAGCAAACGUCCUCGCCCUGCUACAUUCACUCCCCGCCCGGCUAUGCAACUUAUCUCUCCCAGCUCAUCUGUUACUGAGACCCCUCAGCCUGAGACUUUUGCUGCCCCUAAGGUCCCCUCAGAUUCUGAAAAUUAUGCUGAGUCGCGACUUUUGAUCAAAUUGCCAAAGCAUGUUGCCCCCGAACACAACAAGAAGAAGAAGAAAAUCAAGUUUACAGUUCCAUUAGGUCCUGCAGAGACAGCCCAAAAUUCGCCACCACAACAAGCAGUUAGGAAAUGUUUGCAUUGUGAGAUAACUAAGACACCACAAUGGAGGGCAGGACCAAUGGGCCCUAAAACUCUUUGCAAUGCUUGUGGAGUUCGCUAUAAAUCCGGCCGGCUUUUCCCUGAAUACCGACCUGCUGCGAGUCCAACUUUUGUUCCAUCCUUGCACUCCAAUUCCCAUAAGAAAGUCCUGGAAAUGAGAAGCAAGGCCGGUGAGAAUCUUGGUAUGGCUGGAAAUGCUAUAAUGAUGAGCAACUCGCCGGAGUUUAUCCCAAACAAUAGCAAUCUUGCAAUAGAUUACAUGUGAGGGAGGACAUGGAGAACAGUGUUUCCAGUUGAAGCCUCACUAUGCUGCCUCUUUAAUUCCAGUCUUUGUAUUAUUUGCUUACUGUUGUUUCAUUUCUUUGUUGAAUGGUUUUUUGUACAGGGAUGGAAUGGGAGGAAUUAGGAGAAAUAGAUGACCAUAUUUUAGCUAUUAGAGAAGGAUUGUAAGAGACAACUGGGAGAAAAAAAGGGCUAGAGACAAAUGGAAGGUUCGAGGACAGUAGAGUUUUAGGGUUUUAGUCAUGGGUAGGUCCUAAAGGUUAUUAAUUACUAAGGGUCUGUGUCUGUCUCUUUUUUGCAUUCUUUUUAUUUCUUUUUCCCUUUUCUUUGAUGGGUAUUCUUUUUGCAGUUCAAUUUGUUAGUAGAAAAUUCUGAAAUGAGUAAUGGAUUUUGAAAACUUAUAAUUCCUUAUCUACAAUUUUCUUCCAUUCCGUGUUUCCCCAUUUGCAGCAGACAUCUUGGUUCCUCAUCUGCUCAGUGCUUAUUGCAAUGGGGGACAAUUCCCCAGAAGGGGAAGCUUUUCUUGAGCUGUGUUAGAUUUUAACUGCUCAAUUCAUUAGCACAGAUUAAAAAUAAAACAGAUUGCCUCAAAGAUGUCAUCUUUUCUUCUACUCUGAUGGAUUGGACAUUCCAUCUUAAUCUUUGGUGAAUUGCCUACAUCUUGAUUAGUUGGUAAUUAACUUGUAAUCCUUCUGAUAGCUAAUGGGUUAUGAUUAGUUGGUACAGAGCAUCAUAACUGUGGGUGCAAGAGGAUGAAACCAGACUCAUCCUGAAGUCAUUAGGAAGAUUCAACUUUGAUUUGAUGGAAAGAA